UUUAUGAAAACGCUGGGAGGCAAACUGUCAAAAUUAUUUUUUACCAUAUGUUUCUUUAAGCCCGUUUUACAGCUUGCAAGCAGCAAAAAUGUUGCCAAAAGCCAUGCGCAGUGCGCAGGGUGGCUGUGGCAGUAUGUCGUCAGCUGAUGCUGAUUAUUUCCUUCAAUUUCAAUACCUGCAACUUCAAAGAAUAUAAAUACUUUGAUUCUUUGAUACCUGUUUGUUAUAAAUCAAAUAUGGAAAUAAAUCAAGAAGCUAGUGAGAAGACUUCUAAAAUAAAAGUAGAAAAAGAAGACACCUACGUUAGUCCCUUGGAUGCUUUCAAAAUUGAAAUUACAGAAGAACCCAAGAGAGAAUCAGCAUACGAGGCAUUUGGUUAUUUAGACUCAAAUGAAUUUCCCUUAAACACUGAAGUAAAACAAGAUGAAUAUAAAUUUACACCAUUUGAAGAAAAGCAAAUAACAGAUGAAGAAAGUUGUGCCCAGGAAGACAACAAAUUGAAAAUAAUUGAACCAUUACAUUCGUCUCAUAAAGGAAAUAAGUAUACAGGUCAUCACAUUGAAGGAAAAAUACUAAAUAAAAAUGUGAACGUUGAGACUGGACAGAAACCUUAUAAAUGUGAAGUUUGUUUCAAGCAAUUUGCUGCAAAAAGUAAUUUGAAAAUACACUUAAGAGUGCACACUGGAAAAAAACCCUACAAGUGUGAAAUCUGUUUAAAACAAUUUAUUAAAACAUGUGAUUUGAAAAGACACAAUAGGGUGCACACUGGAGAAAAACCGUACAAGUGUGAAACUUGUUUUAAACAGUUUAGUGAAGCAGGUAAUUUCAGAAAACAUUUGAGAGUGCACACUGGAGAAAAACUGCACAAGUGUGAAAUUUGCUCAAAGCAAUUUAUUACAACAAGUGAUUUGAAAAGACAUUUGAAAACGCGCACUGGAGAAAAACCUCACAAGUGUAAAAUGUGUUUUAAACAGUUUAAUCAAGGAAGUAGUUUGAAAACCCAUUUGAAAAUGCACAGUGGAGAAAAUCCGCUCAAAUGUGAAAUUUGUUUUAAACAGUUCUCUACACCACGUAGUUUGAAAAAUCAUUUGAGAGUGCACACUGGAGAAACACCGUACAAGUGUGAAACUUGUUUUAAACAGUUUAGUGAAGCAGGUAAUCUCAAAAAACAUUUGAGAGUGCACACUGGAGAAAAACCGCACAAGUGUGAAACUUGUUUUAAACAGUUUUCUACACCAGGUAGUUUGAAAAAUCAUUUGAGAAUGCACACUGGAGAAACACCGUACAAGUGUGAAACUUGUUUUAAACAGUUUAAUCAAGGAAGCAGUUUAAAAACCCAUUUGAAAAUUCACAGUGGAGAAAAACCGCCCAAAUGUGAAAUUUGUUUUAAGCAGCUUUCUACACUAGGUAGUUUGAAAAAUCAUUUGAGAGUGCACACUACCGAAAAACCUUACAGAUGUGAAACUUGUUUUAAACGGUUUAGUGAAGCAGGUAAUCUCAGAAAACAUUUGAGAGUGCACACUGGAGAAAAACCGCACAAGUGUGAAACUUGUUUAAAGCAAUUUAUUACAACAAGUGGAUUGAAAAGUCAUUUGAAAACGCACACUGGAGAAAAACCUCACAAGUGUGAAAUUUAUUUUAAACAGUUCAGUGAAGCAGGUGGUUUGAGAAGACAUUUGAUAUUGCACAGUGGAGAAAAACCUUAAAAGUGUAAAACUUGUUUUAAACAGUUUGGUCAAGCAGUUCAGCUGAAAACACAUUGGAGAGUACACACUGGAGAAAAGCCUUACAAGUGUGAGGUUUGUUUUAAAUGUUUAAUGGGGAAAAACCUUACCAGUGCGCUAUUUGUUUAAAGCAAUUUCCUGCAAAAAGUAGUUUGCAAAAUCAUUUGAGAGUGCACACUGACACUGUAGUAAAACUUUAGGGAGUGUGAAAUUUGUUUAAGAGCGAAGCAAUAAAAACGUUUGCCAACUUAAAAGCUAGAAAAGUUUACUUUGAUAUAGGUACUUUAAAAAAUAUCGUUAAAAUAUUGAUCUUUUAUGAAUACUGAAACCAUGUUUUUAAUAUAUAAAUAAAGAAAGCAAACAUAAUUAGUUUUAAUUUUAGCGUAACUAUAACCUAUAUAAUCUUCUGACAAAAGGGGGCGCAAAGGUGAGUCUUGCCCCCCGGCGCCGUGUAUGGUUAAGACGGCCCUGCUAGUACAGUUCAGUCUGGGAAUCUUUACCCGUGCUUCAUCAUUUAAAGCAUACGAAAUAAGUGGAUGAUAAGUAGGAAAUUGAAAUUUACUAAACGCACGCGUAAAUAUUCCAAGACUCAACUGUACCUACUGAAAAACUGAUUAACCAUAAAUAUUUCGGCGACCGAAAAAUAAAUAGGUUAACCCAGCACUGAAAAACCGGCCCUUUGAGUUGUAACCCUAACCCCCUAACCAAGGCUAUCCCAAGAAAAUUAUGUUUUCUGUUUCAGUAAAAUGUUUAUAGUUGGUUUUUA